rnacentral:rRNA from 1 species
GACGAACGCUGGCGGCGUGCCUAAUACAUGCAAGUAGAACGCUGAAGGAGGAGCUUGCUUCUCUGGAUGAGUUGCGAACGGGUGAGUAACGCGUAGGUAACCUGCCUGGUAGCGGGGGAUAACUAUUGGAAACGAUAGCUAAUACCGCAUAAGAGUGGAUGUUGCAUGACAUUUGCUUAAAAGGUGCACUUGCAUCACUACCAGAUGGACCUGCGUUGUAUUAGCUAGUUGGUGGGGUAACGGCUCACCAAGGCGACGAUACAUAGCCGACCUGAGAGGGUGAUCGGCCACACUGGGACUGAGACACGGCCCAGACUCCUACGGGAGGCAACAGUAGGGAAUCUUCGGCAAUGGACGGAAGUCUGACCGAGCAACGCCGCGUGAGUGAAGAAGGUUUUCGGAUCGUAAAGCUCUGUUGUAAGAGAAGAACGAGUGUGAGAGUGGAAAGUUCACACUGUGACGGUAUCUUACCAGAAAGGGACGGCUAACUACGUGCCAGCAGCCGCGGUAAUACGUAGGUCCCGAGCGUUGUCCGGAUUUAUUGGGCGUAAAGCGAGCGCAGGCGGUUAGAUAAGUCUGAAGUUAAAGGCUGUGGCUUAACCAUAGUAGGCUUUGGAAACUGCUUAACUUGAGUGCAAGAGGGGAGAGUGGAAUUCCAUGUGUAGCGGUGAAAUGCGUAGAUAUAUGGAGGAACACCGGUGGCGAAAGCGGCUCUCUGGCUUGUAACUGACGCUGAGGCUCGAAAGCGUGGGGAGCAAACAGG